rnacentral:rRNA from 1 species
UGGCGGCGUGCSUAACACAUGCAAGUCGAACGGAGAAUUUCAAUAAGUUUACUUAGCGAAAUUUUUAGUGGCGGACGGGUGAGUAACGCGUGGGUAACCUACCCAUAAAUCCGGGACAACCCUUGGAAACGAGGGCUAAUACCGGAUAAUCUUAAAGCUUGGCAUCAAGCAUUAAGGAAAGGUGGCCUCUGAAGAUGCUACCGAUUAUGGAUGGACCCGCGUCUGAUUAGCUAGUUGGUGGGGUAAAGGCCUACCAAGGCGACGAUCAGUAGCCGGCCUGAGAGGGUGAACGGCCACACUGGGACUGAGACACGGCCCAGACUCCUACGGGAGGCAGCAGUGGGGAAUCUUCCGCAAUGGACGAAAGUCUGACGGAGCAACGCCGCGUGUAUGAUGAAGGUCUUCGGAUUGUAAAGUACUGUCUUUGGGGAAGAAUGACUGAUUUGAAAAUAUUGAGUCAGUAUGACGGUACCCAAGGAGGAAGCCCCGGCUAACUACGUGCCAGCAGCCGCGGUAAUACGUAGGGGGCAAGCGUUGUCCGGAAUUAUUGGGCGUAAAGGGCGCGUAGGCGGGUAUUUAAGUGCAGUGUGAAAGAUCGGGGCUCAACCCUGAGAGUGCAUCGGAAACUGGGUAUCUUGAGGACAGGAGAGGAAAGUGGAAUUCCACGUGUAGCGGUGAAAUGCGUAGAUAU